CCUACGGGAGACAGCAGUGGGGAAUAUUGCACAAUGGGGGAAACCCUGAUGCAGCGACGCCGCGUGAGUGAAGAAGUAUUUCGGUAUGUAAAGCUCUAUCAGCAGGGAAGAAGAAAGACGGUACCUGCCUAAGAUGCCCCGGCUAACUCCGUGCCAGCAGCCGCGGUAAUACGUAGGGGGCCAGCGUUAUCCGGAUUUACUGGGUGUAAAGGGAGCGUAGACGGCUGUGCAAGUCUGAAGUGAAAGCCCAGGGCUCAACCCUGGGACUGCUUUGGAAACUGGGGGGCUAGAGUGCUGGAGAGGUGAGUGGAAUUCCUAGUGUAGCGGUGAAAUGCGUAGAUAUAAGGAGGAACACCAGUGGCGAAGGCGGCUCACUGGACUGUAACUGACGUUGAGGCUCGAAAGCGUGGGGAGCAAACAGGAUUAGAUACCCGAGUAGUC
rnacentral:rRNA from 1 species